rnacentral:rRNA from 1 species
UACGGAGGAUGCGAGCGUUAUCCGGAUUUAUUGGGUUUAAAGGGUGCGUAGGCGGAACAAUAAGUCAGUGGUGAAAGACUGCAGCUUAACUGUAGACUUGCCGUUGAUACUGUUGAUCUUGAGUAUGGUCAAGGCAGGCGGAAUGUGUAAUGUAGCGGUGAAAUGCUUAGAUAUUACACAGAACACCGAUAGCGAAGGCAGCUUGCUGGGCCUGUACUGACGCUGAUGCACGAAAGCGUGGGGAUCGAACAGG